CAAAAGAAGAAGAAGAAGAGUAAGUUCACGGGCCGGUCUCCGUAGCGCCAUAAACCUUACUUUUUCUCGUGUUUUCCUUCAAACUACAAUGAAGAGAAGAUCCACAGCCUGUGAGAAGAAGGUGGAGAGGACAGUGGCGGCCAGGGAAAGGAAGAAAAACCGCAGAGAAGCCUUCAUGUGACGAAAGUGCCCUUCCACUUCACCACCACCACAACCACCACCACCACUACCACAACCACUACCACCAAAUCACCACACUAAGAUUGGCUACAGUGAAGGUCGUGGCAGCCAGUCAGAGAGUGUACUGAAACUCCUGCUGUGAGCUACUCCUGAGGGCCAAGACCUGCACCCUCACCACCCCUGUAAAGGAUGCCCAGCUGACCCAACCCUCCACGGUGUGUGUUGAUGCUGGGACCAAGAAGAAGAAGAAAAAGAGGAAGAGGAGGAGAAGGAAGAAGAAGAAGAAGAAUAAGAGGAGGAGGAAGAAUGGAAGAAGAGUACACACACACACACACACACACACACACACACACGACAAACACCUUUUUAGAUAUUUUUCAUUUUUAUUAGUCCAUACAACAUACAUUAGCUAUAUACAUAUUAUACAACAUAUGCAUAACUAUAUACAUUAGAAAUAAAGCGUUUUGUGGGUGUCUAUGGCGGUCUUCACCGUUAUAUAUCGCCAUUUUCCUCUUCAUCCUGGAGAUAAAUUACAUUGUAUAAUUAAACCAAAUUUUUUUUCCAUACCCACCAGCUCACAAAACCUAAAAAUAAUACUAAAAACCGGCAGUGAAUCAUGAAAUAGCGAUUAUGGCGUCAUUCUCUGCACUCUAUUACAGCUGACAUUUCUUUGUUAAUCUUUCUUCUUCACGUACCACUGAAGUUCCUCAUUUAAUUAUCUCUGCCUCAUAAUACAAAGUUCUGUACAUAGCUCUCUGUAUACAGUCUGUUUUUACCUCACAAUUGUUCCUCAUUUCUCGAUUCUCCUUAUUUCUUUGUUAAUCUUUUUCUCAUUCACCUAUAAGCUCACAACUGUGUCUCAUUUCUCUCUACGGUAUAUCUCAUGCUAUAAUAAAGUUCUUUAUGGCUCUCUGUA